AAGGGCCAGGGAUCAGCAAGACCAGGCAGCCCACCUGCUUGUUCCAGGUGAAGCAUUUCGGCCCCCAUGGGGUGGAUGCAGGGGAAGCAGCAAUGCCAGCAGCUUCCCCCCUGCUUUGCCCACUGCAGCUGCUGCACUUCCAGCCAUCCCCACGAGAUGCUGCUGCAGCCUGUAGGAAGAAGGCAGCCAACAGCCCACCUAUGUGAGGGCAUCCAAGCCCUGCUGCCUGCCUUCCAUCCUAGCCACCCCCACAAGCACUCCUUGCCAGAACCCAGCUGUCUGUUUGCAUCAGGCACCACCAGUUACCAGCAUCUAAAAGGAGGGUGGGUGGGUGCCCAACAGCUGCAUUUCCUAGCAGUGCAGCACAGCAGUCACAGGAUACCAUCAUGUAUGGUAACUGUUCAAUCACAGCCUGAACCACUCAUUGAGCACCUGGGGAAAAGACCCAGACAGCCCUGGGAGCACAGGUGAAGGCAAUUCCCUUGUAUGACCCACAGGGGUGGGGCCUAGAUGCACCUCUCUUAGACCUCAUUUAAGGGCUGACUGCCACUGAGAAAGAACCUCUGGUUGGAGAUCCCUCCUCUGUGGAGCUUUUCCUGGGAGUCUUGCUCUUCAGAGACAGAGCAGAGCUGGCAGCCCUGGUUUUGCCAUAGAGGCUGCAGAAGACAGGUGUUGGGGAAAAUGAAGAGACAACAAUGGCAUCAUCACUGCAAGGAGCAGCAUGGAGCACCCCAAGGUGGGACGAGGGACAUCACCCUGCACUGAUGGUGACUCAGUUCCUCUCACCUUGGAGCGAUGGACCUCA